rnacentral:rRNA from 1 species
UGGGGAAUUUUGGACAAUGGGCGCAAGCCUGAUCCAGCCAUGCCGCGUGCAGGAUGAAGGCCUUCGGGUUGUAAACUGCUUUUGUACGGAACGAAACGGCUCUUUCUAAUAAAGAGGGCUAAUGACGGUACCGUAAGAAUAAGCACCGGCUAACUACGUGCCAGCAGCCGCGGUAAUACGUAGGGUGCGAGCGUUAAUCGGAAUUACUGGGCGUAAAGCGUGCGCAGGCGGUGAUGUAAGACAGAUGUGAAAUCCCCGGGCUCAACCUGGGAACUGCAUUUGUGACUGCAUCGCUGGAGUGCGGCAGAGGGGGAUGGAAUUCCGCGUGUAGCAGUGAAAUGCGUAGAUAUGCGGAGGAACACCGAUGGCGAAGGCAAUCCCCUGGGCCUGCACUGACGCUCAUGCACGAAAGCGUGGGGAGCAAACAGG